rnacentral:rRNA from 1 species
UACGGAGGGGGCUAGCGUUGUUCGGAAUUACUGGGCGUAAAGGGCUCGUAGGUGGCCAACUAAGUCAGACGUGAAAUCCCGCGGCUCAACCGUGUGGUCUGCAGUCGAUACGGGCAGGCUAGAGUUCGGUAGGGGAGACUGGAAUUCCUGGUGUAGCGGUGAAAUGCGCAGAUAUCAGGAGGAACACCAGUGGCGAAGGCGACUUCCUGGCCUGUUCUUGACGCUGAGGCGCGAAAGCUAGGGGAGCAAACGGG